AUACGGAGGGUGCAAGCGUUACUCGGAAUCACUGGGCGUAAAGCGCGCGCAGGCGGUUAGUAAAGUCAGAAGUGAAAGCCCACAGCUUAACUGUGGAACUGCUUCUGAAACUCACUAACUAGAGUCUGGGAGAGGUAAGUGGAAUUAGUGGUGUAGGGGUAAAAUCCGCAGAGAUCACUAGGAAUACCAAAAGCGAAGGCAACUUACUGGAACAGUACUGACGCUGAGGCGCGAAAGCGUGGGGAGCAAACAGGAUUAGAUACCCUAGUAGUCCC
rnacentral:rRNA from 1 species